GAUGAAGAACGCAGCGAAAUGCGAUAAGUAGUGUGAAUUGCAGAAUUCAGUGAAUCAUCGAAUCUUUGAACGCGCAUUGCGCCCCUUGGUAUUCCAUGGGGCAUGCCUGUUCGAGCGUCAUUUGUACCCUCAAGCUUUGCUUGGUGUUGGGUGUUUGUCCUCUCCUUUGCGUUUGGACUCGCCUUAAAGCAAUUGGCAGCCAGUGUUUUGGUAUUGAAGCGCAGCACAUUUUGCGAUUCUAGCCGAUAAUACUUGCGUCCAUAAGCCUUUUUUAACUUUUGACCUCGGAUCAGGUAGGGAUACCCGCUGAACUUAAGCAUAUCAAUAAGCGGAGGA
rnacentral:misc_RNA from 1 species